GACGAACGCUGGUGGCGUGCUUAACACAUGCAAGUCGAACGAUGAAGCCGGAGCUUGCUCUGGUGAAUUAGUGGCGAACGGGUGAGUGACACGUGAGUAACCUGCCCUUGACUCUGGGAUAACUGCGGGAAACUGUAGCUAAUACCGGAUACGACCCUCGGAGGCAUCUCCUGGGGGUGGAAAGAAUUUCGGUCAAGGAUGGACCCGCGGCCUAUCAGCUAGUUGGUGAGGUAAAGGCUCACCAAGGCGACGACGGGUAGCCGGCCUGAGAGGGUGACCGGCCACACUGGGACUGAGACACGGCCCAGACUCCUACGGGAGGCAGCAGUGGGGAAUAUUGCACAAUGGGCGCAAGCCUGAUGCAGCAACGCCGCGUGAGGGAUGACGGCCUUCGGGUUGUAAACCUCUUUUAGCAGGGAAGAAGCGAAAGUGACGGUACCUGCAGAAAAAGCACCGGCUAACUACGUGCCAGCCGCCGCCGUAA
rnacentral:rRNA from 1 species